AGGAUGAACGCUAGCGGCAGGCUUAAUACAUGCAAGUCGUGGGGCAGCACAGGUAGCAAUACUGGGUGGCGACCGGCAAACGGGUGCGGAACACGUACGCAACCUUCCUUUAAGCGGGGGAUAGCCCAGGGAAACUUGGAUUAAUACCCCAUAAGACAAUAACAUGGCAUCAUGUAGUUGUUAAAGCUCCGGCACUUAAAGAUGGGCGUGCGGCUGAUUAGGUAGUUGGCGGGGUAACGGCCCACCAAGCCGACGAUCAGUAACUGGUGUGAGAGCACGACCAGUCACACGGGCACUGAGACACGGGCCCGACUCCUACGGGAGGCAGCAGUAAGGAAUAUUGGUCAAUGGACGCAAGUCUGAACCAGCCAUGCCGCGUGGAGGAUGAAGGCCCUCUGGGUUGUAAACUUCUUUUAUUGGGAAGAAAUCUGUUUUUCUAAAGCAGUUGACGGUACCGAUGAAUAAGCACCGGCUAACUCCGUGCCAGCAGCCGCGGUAA
rnacentral:rRNA from 1 species